UACGGAGGAUCCGAGCGUUAUCCGGAUUCAUUGGGUUUAAAGGGUCCGUAGGCGGGGCAUUAAGUCAGUGGUGAAAUCCUGCGGCUCAACCGUAGAACUGCCAUUGAUACUGGUGCCCUUGAGUAUAGUUGAGGUGGGCGGAACAAGUCAUGUAGCGGUGAAAUGCAUAGAUAUGACUUAGAACACCUAUUGCGAAGGCAGCUCACUAAGCUAUAACUGACGCUGAGGGACGAAAGCGUGGGGAGCGAACAGG
rnacentral:misc_RNA from 1 species